AAAAAAUAGGAUGGACAUAAAUGAUAUAUGAACUAUGAAUAGUAUUUUGUAAAGUUGACUUAGAUAACACAUCUGCACAUCCAUUUCCAGUCCUUUUUGAUGCCUAAAUUCAAUUUCUUCAGAGCAGUUAUUCUACAAAGAGAUCGUAUGAGAUAUUGUUUUGAUAUUCAAAUUUGUUUCUUGACUAUUAAGAAGAUUGAUAACUGUAAAAAUAUCUCAUUCGAAUAUGUUAUGUUUAUAACCGAAUCCCCAACAUGAGACAAGUUUGUUUUAAAAGUAAAUAAUUUUAUUUUUCUUAUAUUAUAUAAUAAAUAUAUAUUAUUUACUGAUAAUUAAAAUAUAGUUAUUCAUCUAUCACAAAUAACUAUGCAAAUAUGUGAAUCAAGUACAACAAUCAAACAACAUAAUGAUUUUCACAAAGAAAAUUUAAAAAAUAUAUUUAUGUUAUGUAGUCUUAUUUUAUAUUUUUUAAAUAAUGUAAUACAAUAUUAUACAUUAUUUUUUUAGAAUUUAGAAAUACAUAUAAUAUCUUAUCCGCGCGUAGUGCGGUUAAAAAAUCUAGUAUAUGUAGAUUCUAGAUAGUUUAAUCAUUUAAUGGAUGAAAGAACUAAGUAAUCAAAAAAAUUAUAAAGGGAAAUUGUCACUAAUACCACUUUUCAUUUAUACACUAACCAAUUAUACCACCAGAUUUUUAAUGGUCAAAAUACCAUUGUACCCUUAAAUAAUUAAACCUAAAUUACUCUCCUUCUCCCCCACGACAGAUGUCUCUCGCCGGAGAUAUCGGUAAGGUUUCUCUCGCCGGAGAUAUCAGUCAGGUUUCUCUCGCCGGAGGUAUCCUCUCCGAUCCGAUCGGUGACUGUGAGAUCGUAAUUGAGUACGCCUCUCAUUUCAGGUAACGAUGAGUGAGGGACUCAGACUGCUCUCUUCGCCACUGGUGCUUUUGGUCUAUAGUAAGCCUUCUUCACACCUUUCAUUGUAUUGUUGGUUUUGAUCUAAUGAUUUUAAUUUUAAUUUCAUGCUCUAGAAGUACAAGUCGGAGCACCAGAAAUGAGAGAGAGCUCCGAUAUUAAAUAUUUAAUCUCCCACGGAUACGAUUUAAUCAACUUACUGAACUCCAAGAACGGAUUUGACGUCGUAUCGCGCGCAAAGCUUCAACCACUCAAUAGCUCUCCACUUUGCUUGCAAUGAGGAUUUCAAUCAGAUUUAGGAAUCUAUUAAAGGUUAGUUUCUUCACUUGGAUCUCUAGAAAACUUCAAAAGACUGAUACUUUACAAGAAUCAACAAUAUAAAAGUGUUCAAUUUGUUUUGUUUUGUUUUUAAAAAAAAUACAGACUGUAAGAAGAAGCUAGAAGCUUGCAAGAAGAAAACAGAGGAAGCUUAUUCAGAUGAAUCAGCAGGAGACGAUGACAUUGAGCGUCUUCAGAAAGAGCUUGAUGAAGAUAUGGAACUAGAAAGCAAGAUAAAUGACGAGCUUAGAUAAGUGUAUAUACUUUAGUUUCUAGUCCCUUGGUUCAGUGACAAGAAAAGUCUUUGUUCUGUCUGUCAAUACAGUCGUUGCUGAUGAACUCAAAGACCUGAAUGCACAAUGGACAUCGGUUGAUGAAAAGAGGCAAUCUUUAAAGAGUAAAGACCGGACGAGUUGAGAGCUGAGAAGAAGCUUUCUAUGUAUGCUUGUGUCACAAAGGUUAUACCAGAAGCAGACGUUAAUGAUCCAUCAAAGAUAUCAGGCUGUAUCCUUAUAUGUAUGCUUGUGUCACAAAGGUUAUACCAGAAGAAGACGUUAAUGAUCCAUCAAAGAUCUCAGGCUGUAUCCUUUUUCUUUUCAUCAUCUCUCUACUUCACGAGUCUCAUUCCUUGAGUGUUUUGAAUCCUUGAUUUAAAGUAUUCAUUAGAUAUGGUUUGAGAAGUUCCAAUUAGAGACAAAUAAGAUGACGGCCUAUGAGACAUGUAUAAUGGUUUAUAAGAUGUUUAUAUUAGUUAUAAUGGUUUAUAAAUUAUUUGUAAGGAAUUAUAUAUAAUUUAUAAAGGUUUAUAAAUAAUUCUGAAGAUUUAUAGAUCAUUUGUAAUGGUUUCUAAGUUAUUUAUAUUGGUUUAUAUACACUCUGGUCUGGAUGAUCUUGCAGCAGCCUGCAAGGCAAUGGAAGGUGUAGAAGUAAUUAAUGAGAUUUGAUGUAGGAGAGAGUAAAGAAGGGUCGGGUAUGGCUAACGAAGCGGUUUUCUUUUCCAAUCUAUUCUCGGAAUGGGACUGUACUCCUUCGCCAGCCUCUUUGAUAUACCUUACACUAUUUGUAGGCUCAACAAGUUUUGAUGAACUUUGAGGAACCGUUGAAGGAUUAUGUUCGUUAUGUGCAAUCCAUCAAGGCGACAAUAGCAUAACGAGGCACUGCAUUCAGGCAACAUUGUGAAUUGGCAGAAACAACAAAGUUAAAGGAAAUAAACCUUGACAAACUCAUGCUCACAUGUUCUGACAAAGUAGGAGAAGCUGAGAAGGAAUACAGAGAGGUAACAACAGCAACUCCAUAUACGGUGGUGCUUAGGAAGCAACAAUAAGAUUUGAGAGGAUGGUGAAGAGAAUGAAAAGAGAUAGUGAGGUUCUCAAUGCUCAAUUAUACCUUUUCAUAAGGCCUUGUAAAACAAACUAUAAAAGAAUGAUGUUCUUUAAUAAGCAAAGAAAUGGUGGAAAGUUGGUUAAUUUGGUGAUUUAUAAACUCUUAUAAAUAGAUUUAAACCUUGUAAAUUAAUUUAUAAACACUUAUAAAUAAAUGUAUGAACUCUUAUAAAUAGCUUAUAAGUUCUUGUAAAUAGUUUUACAAACCCUUUUAAAUAGUUUUAUGACCUUUAUAAAUAGUUAUAUAAAUAUUUAUAUGUGUUUUAUAAACUUUAUAGAUGGUUGAUACAAGGUUUUAUAAGCUCUUAUAAAAUUUAUAAAUAGUUCAUAAAUGGUUUUAUAAACCUUUAUAAAUUGUUAUAUAAAUAUUUAUAUGGUUUUAUAAACCUUUAUAUUUUUUUUAUAAACCCUAUAUAAACUCUUCAAAACCCAUUAAAACCUUUUAUAAUCCCUUACAAAUCUUAUAUAAGGUUUUAUAAACUUAUUGAAACCCUUUAUAAACUUUAUAAACCCUUAUAAAUUCUAUAUAAAAUCUUUAUAAACACAUGUAAGUGAUUUUGUAAAACCUUUAUAAAUUUUUAUAAACCAUUAUAAACAUUUUAAACAUUUUGUGAUGACUUGAAAAAAAAACUUAUGGGAGCUACAAAGCAGUUUCAAUAUGUUUUUACUGUGAGAUCAGAGGUUAGAUUUGUACCCGAACCUCUUCUUUGGAGAUGAAGUGUUUAAAUCCUUUUAGGAGUUAUGAUAGUUAGAGGUGAUCUUGCAGUAGAAUGUGGAUGGGAGAAAUUAGCUAAUAUACAAGAAGAGAUUAUAGCUGUUUGCAAAGUUACUAGUGUACGUGAUUUUGGCGACUAAGGUUAUUUGAAUUGCUUGUCAAUGGUCUUCCAGCUCGAGCUGAGAUCACAUAUGCUGCAAAUGGCAGAAGGUCAAAAAAAUUUCACUGGAAGUAAACAUGAUCCUGCUAAACAUUCUUUGUCUAACUAUGGAGUUUGAAUAUUUUUGCAGGGUGAGUUGUGUGAUGUUGAACAAAGGCAAGCAUAUAGUUGAAGUUGUUUCAAAGUUGUUUAUAAAUCAUUUGUAAGAGUUAUAAAUUAAUGGUUUAUAUAUCAUCUAUAAAAUGUAUACAUAUUAUUUAUAAUGGUUUAUAAAUUAUUUAUAAGGAUUUAUAUAUAAUUUAUAAAGAUUUACUUAUAAUUUUUAUAAGAAUUUAUAAAUGAUCUAUAAACAAACUCUUCUAACUGAUUUAUAAUCACUUCUAAAUUGAUUUCUAAACUCUUAUAAAUUGGGUUAUGAAGAUUAUUAAAUUCUUAUAAUAUUUUGAAUAACUCUUAUAAAUAGAUUUAUAAACCUUGUAAAUUAAUUAUAAACACUUUUAAAUAAAUGUAUUAACUCUUAUAAAUAGCUUAUAAGUUCUUGUAAAUAGUUUUAUAAACCCUUUUAAAUAGUUUUAUAAACCUUAUAAAAACCCUUAUAAAUUAUUUUACAAACUCUUAUAAAUUUUUUUUUAUAAGUCUUUAUAAAUUAUUAUAGACUCUUAUAAAUGAUUUAAGAAACUUUCUAAUUGAUUAUUAAACCUAUAAACCUUAUAAAUUGUAUACAUAUCCCUUAUAAAUUGUAUACAUAUCCUUUAUAAAUUGUUUAUAAACUUUCAUAACAUUUUUAUAACCAGUUAUAAAUGAUUUAUAGACUUUAUUAAUUAUUUUAUAAAUCUUUAUAAAUGGUUUAGAGACUUUUUAAAAAUAAUUUGUAAACCUUUAUAAAUAGCUUAUAAAAUAUACAAAUUGUUUUAUAACUUUUUAUAAAUGAUUUAUAUGUUGCAAAAAUUGCUAACUUCACGAAUAGUCACAAAAAUUGCUAGGUUGGCACUGACGUGAAGACUACUUUGAGCGACAACUAAAGCUGCUUCAUCUCUGCUGAUACAUCUUAGAAUGAUUUCAAGAACUUCAGAAUACUGAAAAAUUAAUGAGAUCAUCAAUGAAUGAAUCAAUGUCAAAACAGAUAGACAUUAAAUGGCCAAAAACCACCAAACCAUUUCCCAAAAUUACAAAAUAUUUAAAAAACUCAAAAUUCCAUUAAUUAUAGGUGAACACAAAAUGGAAAAUGAAACUUCACUAUAACAACUUAUGCACUAGGAACUCAAGUACCUGAAUUUCACCAUCUCCUGAAUUAUUAGCCACUAAGUCCUCCAUCUGAAACAGUUUCACGAAGUCAACCACAUAAUAUAGAGAAGCCAAAACUAAUUUAGUAAUUGUAAAAAAGUAUAAAUAGCCACUUUACUAACCUUCUGCGUAACAAUAUGAUACUUAUCCAGUGCAUCUCUCGUAGACAGAGAAGGCUGGACGAUAUUACCUCCACCAAGACGCUCCAUGGUAGCAGCUGAAGUCAACGUCUGCAACGAUGUUCCAGUUUCCUUGUGUAUAAAAUAAGAAGCACAAAUCAGUGAUUUAAUUUAAAAGUGUUGGAAAAUUCAACCAGGCUCAACUCUUCCCAACUUCAACCAUAUAGCUCAUGGAACAUGUAACACUUGCUCUGUCAGUGUCAUGAUCUCCUCAACUCUGCUGCUUCUCUCAACAGAACCAAAGCUAUUCAAUUUUCAAUUUCCAGAUCCAUCCACACAAGGAGGCUGUUAAAGUAACCAAACAUUCAAAAUCGAUAUAGAAAGCCUGAAAAUUUUCUGCCACGAGAACCGCACCGGUGGAAUGAGAGAGAGACGGUGGAUCUCCGGUGAAUCGGAGGCAGAGAGGAAGAAAAAAGAUCGCAGAGAGAGAGGGAGAGAGGAAGAGAAGAGGAUCGCGAGAGAGAAUUAGGUUAGGGCUAGUAUGGUCUUUUGGUCAUUAAUGAAAAGUGUAUUUGUGAAAAUGUCCCCAUACUUGUAGUAUACUUGAAAUGUGGUACCAAAGAAAGUGUAUAAGUAAAAUUUCCCCAAUUAUAAACCGUCGCAACAUAGAAUUUGUUAUAGCAAACUUAUAAAACGAUGGAGAGGAUAAUUUUUGAACAACAAGUUAUUAUACAUAUUAUUGCUAAUUUUUGGUUAAAUAUUAAUGAAUUAUAGACAAAAGAACUCACAACUUAAAAAUACUAAAAAAUGAAUAACCACAUUUAUGUAUAUAAAAUAAAUAUUUAAUUAAAAGAAAAUUUUAUUUUGAUAAGAUUUGUAAGUUUAUAAAUAACAAAAAGUAUUAAAAUUAGUAAUAAAUAUUAAUGAUAGAAUUUAUUCAUUUUGAAAGAAAAAAAUGAAGGUAAAAAUUGGAAAUGCCAAAAGUUUAGUAAAAAACAAUUGGAAAUGCCCUGUGUUAUAAUUCAGAUUUUAAACUCUUAUAUUUUCAUGUUAGUUAACCUAUAAAUUGGUGUGCCUUGGUCAACAUUUUCUCCUCGCCAAGUCUAGUCCCGGCGUGCCGUAGUGAUAUCAAUCCGGUUACUCGGUCAAGACAGACCCAUUCAGCUUUAGAUCCAUGAAAUUCACAUAUGUUAGUUUUGUCCACUCCGAUUGUCUAGUAUAUUUCCAACUUGAGUCCGGUCCAGACCAGGGGCGGACUUAAGGGUUAACGUACCGGGGCACGUUCCCCAACUAAUUUGUUAUUUUUCUUUAAUAUUUUAUACGAAGUAUAUAGAAUGCCCCCAUCAAAAAUUUAAUACAAUGUGAAAUUUAUUUAUGUCCCGCCCCCAUCUAUAUUUAAAUCUAGAUCCAGCCCUGGUCCGGACUACAUGGUUAGCUCAGGAGUAGUAUUUUUUAAAGAUUCAUCAAUUAAUAUGAUUAAUUGUUGUACAAAUCUAAUUAGUGUUCAAAGUGAAACUUAGUCAAACAAACUAAUUGACGAGUAGUAUCGUUAGUCUCACAUAUGACAUAAGAAAUAUAUAAAGAAUAUAUGUACGUAGGCUCCCUUGACUCGAGUGUCGAGAGAGUAUAUCUACACUUACGGGAGAUCUCGAGAGUUUUUAGUCCUCUAUCAGAUCAGUUAAAGACCCUUUGAUCAAUACAACUAUAUAUUUCAUCGUUCGGACAUGCAGGGCCGGCUCAUAGUUUUUAAGGUCCUUUGGGCAAAAAUAUUUUUAGACCCUUUAGUAAUUAUAUAGAAAACAUUUAAGCAUAUUUUUUAAAAAACUAUAUUGUAUAAAAUAUUAUUAACUUUAGAUGUAAAAACAUAUAAAAUAAAAGUUAUUUAAACAUAUUUAUACUUAUUUAUUUCUUCAUAAAAAAUUCUAAAAAAAAUUAUUUUUUGAAAAAUUUGGACUCUUAAUUUGAUGGACCCGGGGUGGUCAUAUUUAUACUUAUUUAUUUCGCCCGCAUAGUUAAGCCGGCCCCGGGACGUGAGCUGCUUCUGCGGGCCGGAUUGCCUAUAUAACAUGCAGAAAUGAUCAGUUGUGACCACCGGACGUGGUAGACUAGUGAUUAGCUCGGUCCAACUCCCCACUUAGUUUUCUCUUAUUUUUUAAACAUGAGUGUUACAAAAAUAAAAGACUACUUGUGCAUGCAGCUAACCACGUAUCCCUCUAAUUCUUCUUCUCUUCAACGGUGAUCAUUUUGACACAAGAAGCGAACGUGCAGCCUUGCAGGUUUCAAAUUUGACGUGAAAUGCAGACUCUAGAUCGAAUCAAUGGAACAAACAAUCUACGUGAGCGUCUUGCCUUCUCCUACAUACUCUCGACAUAGCUGCCACUGGAUCAAGGCAGAUAUAUAUAAUGUUAAAGGUUUACCAAGCCAGUAAAGCUAACUCCUUUGUGGUAUACCAUGUUAAGAAUGGGUUACUAGUUACUACGUACUGCUGAUAGGAACGUGGCGUGAAUAAUGAAGAACUUGUUGACGAUGUUUUCAUAAAAUCCCUUAUAUAUUAAAAGAGGAGCAUUGGAGUUAAUGCUUUCACACCAUGUAUGACACGUGUCCAUUGUACAGAGACUCUCACAAAUUAGUUGCCUUAAUUGGUUUUGCUAUUAUAGAAUUUUUGGAAACGUUUCAUUGAUCUAGAAAAUUAAAAAAACCACUCGUGGAAUGAGUUAUCACGUAAAGCUUAAGCUACGACAUCACCGUACCAUCGUAAAGAUUAUUUCCCAUCAUGAAGACUUUCCAGAACAAAUACGGGUGUGCUCUGUGAGUGCAUAUCGCGAAGCACUAGAUAGUAACACAUGUAAGUUAGAAACACAGAAUCGAGAAGAUGAAGACGUAAUUAACUUUUCUCUUAUACGGGAGAUAUAAACAUUCAUAUCGGCGAAGAACUCAGCAUGAACACUUUCAAGAAGAGAACACUCUGAAUCUUAGAAACGAUACAUCACCGAGCUCGCUAAGCAUUUUUCAUCCACACUGCAUAAUGGUUCUUGAACGUGUAUAUAUUGUAUGAACUAUAUAACCCACUCUUUUCUCUUAGAAGAGAGACAUGACUAUUCAUCUCGACGAGAACACUUUGAAGCAGAGUACACUCUGUAUCUUAGAACCGAGACAUGACCAAGCUCGCUAAGGUGCGCAGCUCCACACUGGAGAUUUUUUCGUUUUAUUAGUAUUCUAUUCACAUUUAUAUUUUUGUUUUGGCUUUCAAUAUCUUACUUAAGAACUAUUAUGAUAAAUUCUUUAAUUAUGCAUCUUAAUAAUAAAUGAGCUUUUAAGUUAUAAAAGACUUAUUUUAUUGUUUAAAUAUGUUUUUACCGUUCUUGAAACUUUCUUCCGGUGUUAUAAAGUCCUACUUUAUCAAUCAUAUAUUGCAAAUACAGACUUUAUUUUGGAUGUCAAACAUUAAAUCACCGAGUCAAUUCACUCCGCGCAAGGCGCGGGUUAUCACCUAGUAACAAAA